UACCCGUAUUAAACUGGUGUUUAGGAA
rnacentral:sRNA from 1 species